GGAAGUGGGGGGGGGGAGGGUGAGGGAAGACGGGGUGGGCAAGGUGUGUGGGGAAUGAAUGGGGGGAAAGCGGGUGUAGGCGGUCUUUUAAGGCUGAUGUGAAAUCCCGGGGCUCACCCCCGGAAGGGCAGUGGAAACUGGGAGACGGGAGGACCGGAGAGGAGGGUGGAAUGCCUGGUGUAGCGGUGAAAUGCGUAGAUAUCAGGAGGAACACCGGUGGCGAAGGCGGCCCUCUGGACGGAUACUGACGCUGAGACGCGAAAGCGUGGGGAGCAAACAGGAUUAGAUACCCCUGUAGUC
rnacentral:rRNA from 1 species